CUUGCAUUAAUGAGGACUAUACAGAAAACCUUCCUAAGGAUUUGUAUAGAUCUGAUGUAUGGCAAA
rfam:Cavia porcellus supercont2_2 genomic scaffold, whole genome shotgun sequence.